UACGGAGGGAGCAAGCGUUACUCGGAAUUAUUGGGCGUAAAGGGCGCGUAGGCGAUCUGACAAGUCUGGUGUGAAAGCCCACAUGUUAACUGUGGAAGUGCAUUAGAAACUGUUGGAUUUGAGUUCAGGAGAGGAAGGCAGAAUUCCCGGUGUAGCGGUGAAAUGCGUAGAGAUCGGGAGGAAUACCAGUGGCGAAGGCGGCCUUCUGGACUGACACCGACGCUGAGGCGCGAAAGCCAGGGGAGCAAACGGG
rnacentral:rRNA from 1 species